rnacentral:antisense_RNA from 1 species
GGAAAGGCUUCGGAACACGCAGGAGAGACGUCUCCUUAGCCCACUGCAGCCCUCUGCCGCCUCUACCAACCGCGGGCAGCACCUUUGGUCGGCCUGGGGGUGAGGCACAGAGCUCCACAUCCAGGCAACUCAAGUGUGUGUGUGGUGAGGGGACACUGGGAGCGGCUGGACGACCCCCUCCUGCCGAACAGACAAGAGCCCCAGGACAAACUGGGAUGGAGGUCCUGACUGCAGCCUCUGGCCACCACCUCUCCGAGGAGCCAUUUAAAAGGACCAGCGCCUGCGGAGGGGAGACCCUGAGAACUUAAGCCUCAGAGUUGCACAAGUUUAAAAAGGGAAGUGCUUGAUUGGAUUGAGAGUUGACUCUUCAGUGUGCGGAAGUCCUGAAUUAUUUCACAGGGAGAGUUAGAAAAAAGCAAAGCUUCCCAAGGCUGCCAUUCACUUCUUGAGUCUAGAGGCACAUGAUCUUGUCUGGCCCCGUGGACAGCUGUUUUUUCGCGGGGUGGAGUGGGGGGUGGUUCAAACACCACAGACGCAAAACAGCCACAAGAAAACAAAGGCUUGAAGUGAUUUCUGCUCCCACCCCACUGCCUCAGUCUGGAGAUCCAAACUCACCUGGGUAGCAGGAAAGCUCCUUUUCUGCCCAGCUCCCAGGUUCUCGCUUCAGCUGCACGUCUGACAUUUGCCUCUGCAGGCACCGGCUUCACUGCUGUCACUCAGACAACUGUAAGCUACUGGUUGAUAGUGCUCAUUAAAAAGCUAUGAUAUAUACCUAUUGCAUCACUUGCCAGCACAAUCCCUGAGUGACCACUGAGUCCGGAGGGGCAUUUAUCCUAUGACAGUGCAUCAUCAGAGGUGUCCUGCCAUCAUCCCUGCAGGUAGGACACACAGGGCUCAUGCAGCCCCAUAACUCCCAGGGCCUUGUGUUCAUCUCCUUUACAGAUGCCCAGCCAUCAGUUUGGGUCCCAGCCUCAAGGAUCAGUUGAGAUUCAAGGUGGGUUUUGUUAUUAUUGUUGGUUAGGUCUUUGCCCAGAAUUUCAGAACCUUCAAUACUACCUCGUUUCCUGUCUCAAAGUUAAAAUUUCAUUGUAUUAUGUCAUUCAAGUCCCCACAAGGGUAGCUCUGUGGAGUGGUACAGGGGAGAGUGAAACUCAAGCAAUAGGGUUUCCUAGCUCAGCACCUACCAGAUGUUUCUGGUGACAUCCACCUGCAACCCCCAGCUCUCUGGCAGAAGUGGCUCCUAGGAGUUGCUCUUGUUGGAUUCUUGUUAUUAAUUGCCCUCUUGAACAGCUGUCAUGAAUGGAAUGGCUCUGAUCUCCAAAAGGCCAGGGCUUCUCAGGGUUGCUUCUCCACCACUACAGCCAAGGAAAAGGUAUAUAGGGUCCCUGCAGAGCCCUCUAGUGGUACCCCUCCACAUUAUAUGCCUCUUACAGGAAACCUUCCAAGACUCCUAGUGAUGAUACUACAAUAAGCCAAUAAGCCAUUUCCUUCUUCGGAAAAUUUAAACUCAAAUAAGCUUACAGCAAAAGAAUUACAUAUUGUAUAUUAAAGAGGAUAUUUUUACUACAAAAUAAUACUUCUAUGUGUUUCAUCAAGUUCAUCAAUAACAUUUAUUAUAUAUAGUAACUAAAACAAAUAUCACAUAAUAAUUGCACACGUUUUUGAGCACAUGCUAUGUAUUAUUUAUGUUAACUGUUUUACAUAAAUAAUUUCAUUUCCUACUCUCAAAAGCUCUGU